GAGAUUAAUACACUAGGUAUUCCCUUGAAGGGAGGAAUUUUUUUUUUUCGGAAUGAAAGUCUGGAUUUGCGCUGUUAUAAGAAAUAUUUUAUCUGGGGAAGUUAGUUUUUCAAACUAAACCCAAUGGGAUAGACAGCGGUUUAAAGUUUCGUUUGAGGUAAAGGAUUUGUAUAUUCUUUAUACUUCUAUUGAGUGCAAUUGUAGAAGGAGUGUUUAAAUACUACUCUAACCCGAUAC